rnacentral:ncRNA from 2 species
AUAAACCUCCCUUUGCAUGUUGAAAGGGAAGCCCGGUGAAAAUCCGGCGCGGGGCCGCCACCGUGAGUGGGGACGAAAUUCACAAUAUACCACUGGCCUAAUUUUGGCUGGGAAGGUGUGAAGAGUAGGAUGAUCCACGAGUCGGGAGACCUAACAUGCAAAGGAAGGGAGC